rnacentral:pre_miRNA from 1 species
GAGCGCUCACCAGUCCGGCUCCAGAACACGUCAAGAGAGACACUUCACCUCUCGGGAAGCAGCCCUCUCUCUCUCUCUUGACUGGUCUGGAACCAGACUCCGCGCUC